UUCAUCUACUUGUGCUGGAGGGACCGGGGACCUGCAUGCUCUGAGCUCCCCAAGGCCAGAACUGAAAGAGACCUGGGACCAGUGGGUCUUCUUAGCAGCACCACCUGCCUUUCCUCAGAGAACAUUCUAAAUCCACGUACAAGGAGUAGCACUGAAACCAAAGCCAUGCCUUACCACAGGACAAGGAGGGCUUCCUAGGUCAGCUGCAGAAGGCCUGGGCACGCAAGGGGCUGUACAUUCCGUCCGAGAGAGGGGUCACUGGGCAGCGACAGGAAACUCACCAGCCCUGGUGUGCGGGAUGCUCUCUGUGGGGCACUGACAUCACCCUGGAGACAGGCUGCCUUGGGGAAAAGCGCCUCACUCUGCAGUUUAGCAUCCUAGGCCAAGCAGAGCUCCUGUGAGCAGGGCUGUGAUCUCAAGGGGGUUAUUCCAGAAUCCUGCCAGGGUACCUGUUGAAACUCAGAGCCAGAAUGAGCAUUGGAAACAAUGCAGCUGCCUGCCAUUUGUUCAUUCUGAUGAAAAGCAAGGCUGUUGGUUUCUUUAUGACUAAGUUCCUUUCAGGGGAAGGCAAUGGCAACCCACUCCAGCACUCUUGCCUGGAAAAUCCCAUGGACGGAGGAGCCUGGUGGGCUGCAGUCCACGGGGUCGCACAGAGUCGGACACGACUGAAGUGACUUAGCAAGUUCCUUUACCUGCCUUACGGUUAUAUUGCAUUUAUUUAAUUCUCCCAGCCUCUCCUUACCAGAGUUUUUCCUGCUGCUGAAAUCCAGUCUGUAGAAACUAAACAUUGUAGAGUAGAUAUGAAAUUUAUAGAACCACUGUAGUCUGACAUCUCAGAUACUUAAAAAAAAAAGUAAGCAUUUAUUUCUAUAGAAUUGAACUUACCGAUUCAAGAUAACUUCUGUUUUAAAACUCAGAUGCCUCUGAAUAGUCAAUUUCUGGAUUUUUUUUGCCUCCUUCUCCUUGGAGGCCAUCCCAGUUCCUGUGCAGAGGGAGAGAGGGCACCGUAGUCCCCUAGCACUGGUGGGAGGAAGCUUCUGGAUCAUCGCCAUCCUCUACCCCUCCAGCUAGCAUCUAUUCAGCCAGAAUGUGUCACAUCUGGUCCUCAUAACCAUGGACUGGCAUCCACCAUUCAUGCCCCCAGUCCCACCAUGUCUUCCGGUCAGCAGGCCUCCAAGUGCACAUCCUCCUGAUUCCCAUCUCAGGCUCCUUUGGCUCUGCAAGCCGGCUGUGCUUGGUCCCUUGGGCACACUUGGCUGCUUCCUCUUCCCCUUGAUGGCGAGUAGGCAUCUCUGAGACAUUCCCUUGGCCCCUCACCCAGUCACUGCUGGCACCAUGCCAGUCAGGGCAUCUCCUAUAUACUUGCAGAGCUCUCAGCCCACACCUGGGAAAGCACAGUUCUCUCUCCUCCCAGUUCCCCCUUGAACAACAUGGGAUUUUUUAUUGCCCCACCUCCCUUGUAGCUCAGUUGGUAAAGAAUCUGCCUGCAGUGCAGGAGACCCAGGUUUGAUCCCUAGUUGGGAAGAUCCCCUGGAGAAGGAUAUGGCAACCCACUCCAGUACCCUUGCCUGGAAAACAUGGACAGAGGAGCGUGGUGGGCUGCAGUCCAUAGGGUCUCAAAGAGUCGGGCACAACUGAGCGACUAACACCUCCCUAGAUCUAAAUAAGGAGGCAUGGUGAGAACAGGGUUCAGGGCCCUCUCAAAGACAUUCACGCAUGGCUGUUUUAAUUUCUUCUCACAAUUCUCUUACCUCAGACAUAUCUUGGAUUGUACAACUUAAAUUUAAAAGAUAUCAAAUAUUUUCUAAUUAAUUUAUAAAUUAUAAAUUCAAUGCAAUCCCAAUAAAAAUUCCAGUUGUAAUUUUUUUUAAAGAAACGUGAUAUAUUUAUCCUAAAGUGUAGAGGGAAAAAUAAGUUUCACAGAUAGCAAAAUUAACAUGAAACAGAAGAAGGGGAAAUUGCCUACCCAAUAUUUAGACACUUGCAAAGUCGUUUUUAACGGGGCAGUGGAGUGGAAUUGAAAGCCUGCUGGUAGCCCUGUGUUUACCUGUGAAUUUCAUCUAACAUAGAGUUGUCACCACAGAUCAACAAUGGAAGGAUGGAUUGUUUAGUCGGUGAUGGGAAAACAGGCAGUGAAAGAAAGAAUGGAAAAAAAAUUGGCUCUCUCUCUAACACCACAUAUCAAGGAGAUUUUCAAAGGAUUAGAAACCUAAAUACAAAAGGUAAGACUAUAAAGCUAACAGGUGAAAAGUGUUGUAACCUCGAAUGGAUAACAACUUCUUAAAUCAGGUUUUGAAAGUGCAAACCACAAGGCAAAAUGAUUGAUCCAAUUACAUCAAAAUUAAGGGUUUCUUUUAACAAGGCACCUCAGUUGAAUUGAAUUUAAGAGAUAGGUGACAGAUUGGGAGAAGAGAUUUAUAAGGUUCAUGAUGUCUACAAGUGACAAAGGAUAUACAUGUGGAACACACAAAGAACUCCCACAAUUCCAUUAGAAAAGAGAGUACACCAAAAGAAAAAUGGGUUAAAUAUAUAAAUAGGCAACUUACAACAGAGGAAACCCAAAGGCUGUACAAGUAUAUGAAAGAAACUGCUCGUUAGUAACCAGAGCAAUGUAAAUUAAUGCAAAUUAAAGUAAUGAUGAGAGAUCAUUACUUUAUGGUAUUUGAAAGGAAUUUAAGCUGUAAGGCAUAUAGCUACUAGCCUAGCAUAGUUAGAAAGCUGGGUAAUGACAAGUGUUGGCAAGGGGUGGGGACAGAGGUUCCUCUUGCUGCUGGUGGGAGAACAGGUUGGAGAAUUAUCUGGUAGUAGCUAAUUAAGUGCAUGGAUGCCUUAUAACCCAGCAGUUCCCCUCUUGACAGAGGUCUUUUAGAAAUUCUCACACAUGCCCAUUAAGAGGAACAUGUAGAGGCAGGAGUCAGUCAGGAUUUGGGUGGCUUGAAGCUAAUACAAUUUGGGGAACCCUAUUUAAGAAAAAGCACAAAUUAUGAAUGUGAAAUUGGGUACAGAGCUUUGAAGAGGCUUUGUGCAGGUGAGAGGUCACAAUCCUUGGGGUUGAUCAGCCCCUCUGUGAACUUUUCUCUGUACACAGACAGGUUCACCACAAUGCUGUGGGCAAAGUGGGGAGUUGGAAGCUUCUUGGCCAAUUUUGUUAUCACAUCUACAGGCUCUUUGGGGGUAAAUAAUGGGGGGUGUUAUCUCAGCAUUCUCCUUAACACAAAGACAUCUACCUAAACUUAAAAAAAAAAAAAGAAUGCAUUUCUCCAGCUAUGAGGCUCCAGAUCCCCAGAAAGGCUCAAAUAAUCUCCUAUCACUUAAGGCUGAGGACCACUGGGUGUAAAUAUGUAAACAGACCCAUAGAGUCAGGAAGUCCCCAUGGCCCUGGCAUGGCAGGAAUACUUGUACAGAGAAUAUUUUUCAAUACUUUCCAGCUAAUUUCUUUUUAGGAAUGCCUUUCUAAGUAAGGAAGAAGAGGCUCUGAGAUUCCCCAGGGUAUGCUGAGGCUCAGUCCAUCCAUAGGCUGAGGGUCGUGGACGUGGCCUUAGGUGGCCUGCUAAGUUCGUCUGCCCCAGUUUUCUUGGAAGGGCAGUGGAAGCUGGAAACCCAGGGGUCCUCUGAGAAGCACAGUACCCAGCAGACAGGAAGAAGCUGGAGGGCAUGGGCUUCCCCUAAGCGGAGUAUGGAUGCACCACUCCAAAGUACACCACUGUGGCAUAAGGAUUACCUUGAGCUGAAGACAAUUGAGAAAUAGCAGAUGCUAAAACAAAGCUCUCUGCCCUCCCUUUCCUUCUAUUUGCCUGAAAGCAGGCUUAGAUUCUUUACCAGCAGGGACUCGUAUCAGAUCAGCUCAGUGACAACAGGAGAGGAAUUGACCUACUAAAACAACAUAUCUUCUGUUAGUUUCCCCGGUGUAUUCACCUUCCCACAAGUUUGCUGCCUUUGGAAACCUACCAUCUAUUUUCUUGUCUUUCUCUACAAAUUUAUUGUUCUUAAGAUGCUAUGUAAGCCCAAGUUCUGACCAUCCCUUUGAGUUAUUCUUCACUGAAUCUCCCUCUCCAGUGUGUGAUGCAUAAGGUGAUGAAUUCUGUUUGUUUUUCCCUUGUUAAUCCAUCUUUUGUCAGUCUAGUUUUCAGGGCCCCAGAUGGACAUCUAGGAUAGAGGAAAAAGCUUUUUCCUUGCCUACACUUGUUGUUUUUUUGCCACUAAGUCGUGUCCAACUCUUUACGAUCCCAUGGUCUGUAGCCAGCCAGGCUCCUCUGUCCAUGGGAUUUCCCAGUCGAGAGUACUGGAGUGGGGUGCCAUUGCCUUCUCCGUUGCCUAUAUGACCCACACACAAAUCAAGAGUAAGGAGGAGAUGGUGCAGGUGUAUGAGUUAGAGUAACUGCAGAGGGGGACAACCAAGAUAAGACUGCAUGAUCCGGCAGGGACCAGGCUACGUUUCUGUGGCUGUGAUUGGUGUGCACUUGGCCUAUUUAACACCUAGAACAGGUCCAGUUUUGUCCGUACUCACUUCAAAGGCAGGCACUGCGCUGUCCUUCUAACCUGUCCAGUCUGGGGCUUGGGAAGGUGUGUCUGGAGAGGCCCAUCGGAAGGAGUGGAAAGUACACAUCCCCAUACUUAUCCACUCUCCAGGGGCUGCCUGAGAAAACUGAGCACCAGAUCCUGUCAAGAGCUGGUGAGAGGGUAGAUGGAGGUUUUUAGAGCUUCUUCUUUGCCUCUUCAGAAGGAUUUAAGUGGAUUCCACUUGUUAUGGUUUGAAUGUUUGUGUCCCCUCAAAAUUCGUAUGUUGCUAUUCUAAAGUUAUCAGGAGAUGAGGCCGCUGGGAGGUGAUUAGGUCAUGAGGAGAGAGCCCUCAUGGAUGGGAUUAGGGCCCCCUCGCCCAUGUGAAACACAACAAGGAGACAGCUGUCUGCAAACUAAAAGAGGGCUCCCAUCGGAACCCAGUCCUUCCGGCAGCUGAGCUGGGACUUCCAGCCCCCGGAACUGCUACCAUAUAAGCCACCCCGUCUAUGGCACUUUGUGACAGCAGCCCGGAUGGAUGAAGACACUACUGUAGCGAGGGGCAUUCAUGAAGGCUGUGCAGGCGUGAGGGUAGGGGGCACAUACAGCUUGCCGCCCAAAAAGCGUCUCUUUGGUAUGCAGAUUGCUUCAAGCUGAAAAGUUUUAAAAGACUCAGAAAGAACCUUUGAUCAUUCCCUUAACUGCAUAAAAGAAUGUAGGUAGACCAAGGACCUGGCCCUCUAACUACAUUGUAAUGUAGAUAAUUGGGGCUUCCCUGGUAGCUCAAUGGUAAAGAAUCUGCCUGCCAAUGCAUAAGGUGUGAAUUCGAUCCCUGGGUCUGGAAGAUCUCCUGGAGAAGGAAAUGGCAACCCACUCCAGCAUUCCUGCCUGAGAAAUCCCAUGAACAGAGGCAUCUGGUGGACUACAGUCCAUGGGGUUGUAAAGAGUCAGACACGACUUAGUGACUAAACAACAACAGCAACGUAGAUAGUUGCAUUAUGAGCUAGGUAUGCAGAGAGCAAGGAAUCUAGCAAAGUCUGUUUAUUAAAAUUUCUCUCUGUGUCCCAUUGCCUCUGCCCGGCCCAAGAAACUUCUGUUUACCAAACCUGUGCUCUACCAUCUCCAGGUGAAUUGUCCUCCCUGGGAAGUCCCAAAUCACUACCCUCAACUUUCUCUUUUAUCUUUAACAGAGAGUGGUAUAUAAGGUGCAGCUUCAGCCAUUGUGGCAAAUAACUCAGUUUUCCUGGGUCUCCCUCAAGGAUGCAGGCCAUUAAAAUUUCAUGUGACUUUCUGUUCAUCUGUCUCAUGUCAGUUUAACUCUUAGACCAGCCAGUAGAACUUGGAAGGGUAGAGGAAAAUUUUUCCUCCCCGACAGCAGCCUGCAGUGGACCCAGUGGGCAUCCAUGCCCUGGGGCUAAUAGGGAUUGCUGGAGCAUGUCACAGAGCCCUGAGGAGGCACCCCUGGUCAUCCUGGAUGGGGUUCAGGACAGGGACCCACUGACACGGAGGAAUGUGGUGCCUGGUUGGUGCUCAGGACAGCUGGUCCACUCUUGUUGAAGGGCUGUCAUGGUGUAUUGUGAGUCUAUGGUGUGUGUGCGUGUGUGUGCGUGCACUGGGAGGUAGUCACUGCUGCUUCAGCUCCCUGCACUCACCUCAGGCUCAGAGCACAAGGUCAGACAACCAAGCCCAGCUGCCACCUGCUGGUGCAGCUGAAGUGUCCAGUCAGGAGCGUAGUCUGCCAAGGAGAAGCUGAGCAGAGCUGGCCUGAGUUACCAGGGCCCAGAGAAGGGAUGGGCUCUGGCUUAGGAGCUGAGGGCAUUAACUGAUAACGCUUCACCCGGAAGUUGCCUAUCACGUACGGAAUAGGAGAAACCCCAGGAGCCAAAGCGGGAGAGAGCUAUUUUGUGACCCCUUUGGGGAAUUCCUGGCUGGGGCAUGAACUGCAUUGCCAAAAUGGUGCAAGAACAUGGAAGAGGAAUGUGGGGUCGGGUUGUUGAGGUCCUUGAAUUCUUGUGGGCUACAGAGUUUGAGCAAUAAGAAGCAAUGGAAGAUUUUGAUAGAAAAGAAAGGGGGAAUUUAGUGUUUUAGAACUAUGACUCUGGAAGAGGGAGCAAGGGGAGGGGAGAAUUGAAUGGAAGCAGCAAGACCAGUAGAUGUUCCUGGGAGAGGUACCCGGGACCUCAGCUGGGGAACAAGGAUGAAAGGCCCAGAUCCCCAUUAAACUCAGUGUAGAAGAGAUGAGAAAACAGACCAAUAUAAUCAAUCAUCAGACAGAGCCAUGGGGACUGUGGUGGCCAGACAUGCACGUCCCUGAGCAGGGAGGUCAGGAAUGUUAAAAAGAGAGGAGGCAUGAGCUGGAGGCUGAUCCGAAGUGAGCCAGCAGACAGGAAGACUGAGUAGAGAGCAGUCCCGGCAGGAGGCAUGAGUGGAGGCACAGGAGCCCCCAAGAGCAUGGGGCCUCUGGGGAACUGAAAGGGGCUUGCUAUGUGUGGCUGGUGUAUUGGCAUGAGGGGCUGGCAGUGGGGCUGGCUUGCAGAGGAAUUGCACAUAUCCUGAGUGGCUCACUGAGGGCAAGUAGGAGCCACUGAAGGUCACGAGGUUGAAAUAUGGGUCUGGAACUGCCCAGCAGACUGGAAGGUCGUAUGCAAGUAUUGGUUCAGAAGAGCUAAAGGGAAACUCCCAGAUUUCUUCUCUCUGUAUUCUGUUCUUUAAAUUCUAUUUUAUGUGGCAGUCAACUUGCAGCGCUUCCCCAACCCACACCCCACAGCCUAGAUAAUUACGAAGUGUAUGAUUUUUGCUGUGUGUGUAUUGUUUCAGUCAUAUCCGUCUCUGCGACCCUAUGGACUGUAGCCAGCCAGUCUCCUCUGUCCAUGGGAUUCUCUAGGCAAGAAUACUGGAGUGGGUUGCCAUGCCCUCCUCCAGGGAAUCUUCCUGACCCAGGGAUCUAACCCAUGUCUCUUAUGUCUCCUCCAUUAGCAGGCAGAUUCUGUACCUCUAGCACCACCUGAAAUUAACCUAGAAAUUUUUACAAACUGAGGGGUAAGGGCAGUGUGGGAGGUCGGUCAUUCUGGCUUAUGUAUGAGUUACUUGAAUUUCAUGCUAACUAGAACAGCCUGUUAAUGGCCUAUCAAACAGACAUUGUACAUAUGCCUUAAUUGUUAAAGAAAAGGACUAGACGUUCCUAAUUUUGAUUGUUCAAUUUGUCAGUCUUUUCCUUUAUAGUUAGUGCUUUACAAUUCCUGAUUAAGAAAUCUUUGCCUACCUCAAAGGAUAAAUAAUUAUUCUUUUAUGUCAUUGUCUAGAAUCUUAAUUGUUUUACCUUUCAAAUUUAUACAUAAAAUCUACCCGGCACAAGACAGGGGUCAAGUUUCAAUCUUUCCCAUCUUACUGACCUAGCGCCGUGUAUUGAAGUACUCUUUUCCUGCUCUUCCAUGGCACUUUUGCCACAAUCAAGCGUUCAUCCAAGUGAACAUCUGUUUUUGUAUUCUCUCCCUCCUGCUCCUUUGAUUUAUUUGUCCUUAGGUCUUGACUUCACACUCCAGGUUUGUCCCACCAAGUCCUAAGGAAUUGAGGUAUUUAUUCUCUCACUGCUAUUACUCAUUGCUUCCUGGUUGCUCCUGGGGCCACUGACACUCUAUCACUUCUGCCCUGCUCUGGGGAACGCCCUUAGGAUCCACUUCCUCACUCACAUGGUGACAGCAUUUAGUUCCUUGUAUAGAACUAAGAGCUUUAGUCUUGGGUUAGCUGCUGUCCAGAGGGCAUCCUCAGCUCUUAAAGGAUGCCCAUGGUUCUUCAGUACUUGGGAUUCUCUAACAGAGCCAUUUACUUCUUCACAGGGAAAGAAAGACUCCAGUAAGAUGGGCACUGCUUUUCUAUGGAACAUAAUGACAUAACCGUGGACACAUAAUCACAUAUAUCCUGCCACGUUUGCUCCGUUCAAAUCACAGAUCCCACACGUGUAGGGAAGGGCAUCCAACAAGAGAGGGAACAGCAAGAGGCAGGAAGCAUGAGGCCAUCUUAGCGUCGGCCACAGAAGGAAUGACAACCAUCUACUAAGCUGAAGGCAACCUCCAGGGUGUGCCAAAUAGAUACUGGCAAAACACUCUCAGGGCUUACCCUAUAUCUGAAUCCGAAACCUUCAGAAGUAUAAAACAGGUUAAUUAAUAUCUCCUCUUAGACAUCUAAUAGGCAUCUUGUCCUUUCCACAUCCCAAGCCAAACUUAUUUCUACAUUUUUAUAUCAACAAAUAGGAAAAAAAAAACCCAAAACCUUGUUCUUCCAUUUGCAAAAAUCUUAGUGAUGUCUUUGAUUUUUUUCUUUCUCCUAUAAAUGUUGGCCCAUUCUCAACCUAUAUCCAGAACCUAACCACUUUUCACCACCUCUACAGCUUCCAACAUGGCCCAAGCAACCAGCAUCUCUGGCCUGUGUCUGGGCUUUCACCCCUGUAGUCAGUGACUAGAUGGAUCCUGUUCCAGUGUACGUCAGAACAUGACAGUUCUCAGGUCAAAAGUCCCCCAGAGGUCGCCCAAGUUUCCCAGAGUAUAAGCCAAAGACCCUACAUGCCUACAUACCCUCCUGCCCCCUCACUCCAGUCGCCAGCCUGUUUUCCACCACCCUCCUCUCUUCACUCUGCUCAGCCACACUGACUGCCUUGCUGUUCUUUGAUCACACUGAGCACAUCCCUACCUCAGGGGCUUUGUACCUGCUAUUCCUUCUACUAGAACACUCCUCACCUCGGUAAACACAGAGACAGUGUGGCUGCUUAAAGGCGAAUGAGGCCUUCUCCUGUCGCUUGGUGUAAGACAGCACCCUGUCCCCCUUAUACCGCUUCAUUUCUCUCCAUAGCAGUUAUCACGAAAUAUGAUGUAUAUUUGUUUUCAUAUGUAUUUCUUUUUCAUCCUCCAUUAAAGUGUCCGUUCCAUUAGGUUAAGGACUUCUGCUUUUUUAUUCGCUGUUGGAUCCUCUAGACACAACUGAGAACAAUGUUUCCCAUGCAGGAGAUGUUCAAUAAAUGGUUAAGGGAAAGAAUGCUAGGACUUUGGAGGUUGUUGUCUGGUCUCAAUUCAGAGAGGAGACUAGGCUGCCACACCUUUAGUGAGUGGGAAAGCUGGGACAAGAAUCCAGGUCUCUUUUUCAUUGCUCUUCCCUUUCCGCAACUUUCUACUCAGCCAUGGACGCUCAAGACUGAUAUUUGAUAAUUAAGUAAGAUAAUAGGAAAUAGUACUGAACAUGUUUCUGAGUGUUUGGCCAAAUAAAACUAUGCUACUCUUUUAAUCUACUAACUUAUCAUCCUGGAUGGCAUCACUGACUCGCUGGAUGUGAGUCUGAGUGAACUCCGGGAGUUGGUGAUGGACAGGGAGGCCUGGCGUGCUGCGAUUCACGGGGUCGCAAAGAGUCGGACAUGACUGAGCGACUGAACUGAACUGAACUUAUCGUCCAAAACAAAUGUCAGCAAUGAGUAGAAGGGGGUGAGGCAUGAAUUACUAUAAUUGAUAAAAAAAACAGCAGGUUAUUGAUCAUAUGAGUCACUGUCCUGCGCCAGGGAACAAUGGUCUGAGUUGUCUGCAAAGGAAAAUGACUCUGGGAAAGAACUUGAUUUGUUCCCUUGAUGAACAGGUGAUGGAAGGAUCUGCUCAAUGGCUCCUUUUACUCAGUUCUUUACCUGAGCAGUGGCUGUAUAAACUGCUGUUAAUACGCUCAGUGUCUACCAUGCAAAGCUCAGAAAGGGAAUUGCCCUUCUAUGGAGUGGCUUGGGCUCCUUUUGCUGAGAGGAUGCCUGUGGAGAAGACUGUUUCGUCCACCCUACACCCACCCGUCUCCAAUCCCUUUCUCUGUUCCAUCCCUCACCAUCCUUUGUAGCAAAGUCUGCUUUGCUAAGACAAUUUAAUUAAGCUAAAACAACUUCCUAGGUCCCUGGGCCGUUUCUUUCCCCAUCGUGUUUGCACGGGCCUUUUUUCCUCUGUACUCCAUUCAAAUACAUUUUCUAUAAUGGCUAAACAUGGAGCUGGGAUGCAAACUCAGAAAGCAUGGUGAUAUUUUAUUUGCAUAUUUCCAUAAUUUCUCCAGCAGUACGAUGGAUGAGAGUAGUGGAGGGCUUUCAGAUGUCAAAUUUGCAGAUAGGAUGUGUCAGAAAGUCAUCUCUUUGGUAAUUUAAAAUAAUUCAUUAUAAACACUGUGAUGCAUAUGUGUAUAAAUUAGCUCUAAUUUUCACGCUAGGGAUUAUGGAUAGCAUGUGAAGGAAACUAAUCAGGAAAUCACCAUCCAGAAGUGGUUAUGUAAGCUCUGUAAAUAUUGUUAUAAAAAUCUAUUCCAGAGAGUAUGUCAACUAGCCUAGGUAAUGUAAAAUAGGCUUUUUAAAUUGGCUAAAUGAAGAGAGUUCAGGCUUUGAGGCUGGAUAGAAGACCGAUAGGUCCCACCAUCCUUCCAUGGCAAGAGGGUAUUUUUCCAACAAGCCCACGGGCCUUACACGUUGGGGCAGUACUCCAGUCCAGAAAUCCAUCUGGCUCUGCCUCUUUCCACUGCCUGCAGGCUCUGCUGCCUGAUGCCCCAGAAGCUCAGCUGAGCAGCUGUCAGAACAUUGGGAUGUCUGAUUCCUUCUUCUCAUGUAAGGUGCUUAUUAAUAUCUAAGUGUGGGGACUUGACCGAGAUUAAUGAAGGAUAUGAUGGUGGUUUUUGUGCCUGAUUGGGCUUCCCUGGUGGCUCAGACAGUAAAGAGUCUGCCUGCCAAUGCAGGAGACCCGGGUUUGAUCCCCAAGUCAGGAAGAUUCCCUGGAGAAGGUAAUGGCUACCCACUCCAAUAUUCUUGCCUGGAGAAUUCCAUGGACAGAGAAGCCUGGCGGGUUAUAGUCCAUGGGGUCACCAACAGUUGGCUAAGUGACUAACGCUUUCACCUUCUUCACUUUGUGCCUGCUUGAUAAUGAAGGUUGUUUUUGUUUUUAAUAAAUUUAAGUAUUUAGUCCUUCAUUUGUAAAGUAAUUUUAAAAAUUGAGACGUAAUUGACGUUAUGUAAGUUUUUAGGUGUAUAACAUCAUGGUUCAAUUUUUGUGUAUUAAUGGUUUGCAUGUGUGGCAGAAACUGGCCUAAGAAUGACUUUCACCAUGACGACCUGCUUGGAGGUGAGAUGGUGGGAGAAAGGAUACCCUCCUCUAACCCCAGUGCCUCACUUUUAAAUACAAGCAGACAAUCAAGGGUCACCAGAUCUGUGAGAAAAUUGAAUAUGAAAGGCAGAGACCAAAAAGAAAGAAAUUUGGAAAAAAAGGGAAAAAAGUAUAGGCAACAGAAGAAAACUUAAAAAGCCCUCAGUAUCUCUGGAGAGAAAAGGUAUUAUAUUCCAGAAACGAAAGAAGCAAUUAAAAAGUAACA
ensembl:lncRNA